AGUGUAGAGCAUGCGUAUUGGGAGUGAUCCUGAGAAGCCGUUGCUUUUUACCUCAGCUCCACAAAAGCACAUUAGAAGAGGAUUUGCAGAUCGAAAACCCAAACCAAAUGAUACACCAAGAUCUAAAUCUUGUACCUUCACUCUGGGUGUGAUGAUAGACUGACUGUGUGUUAGAAGGAGCUGGUUGCACUUUUCCUCAUGCUGAGGAAUCACCACAUUCUUUUUGGUUCCCACAAGAAUUGACUGUGCAAGAAAGAGAAAAGAACAUCUCUAGUAACUUAAGGUCAGGUGAGGUGAAAGGUUUCCAUAUGUCCAUUUCUCCAUAUAUAAUGGUCUAUGAGAGAGAGUAUAGGUAUCUGCCAGAUUUGCUGCUUCACUGGUCUUGAGUAUUUGAUGCUCAUCUAAAUAAGUUUCUACAUUUGAAAGACUUUUUUUUCAAUCAUUCCAUGAUAAUGAUUUCCUUUGCAUUCUCAAAACGUUUUUCUAAUUUGACUGAUCGAAACCACUGCCAUUUUGUCAGUCCAACUACCUUCUCAGAUGAGGUAAAAUAUGUUUCAACUCCAUCC